rnacentral:rRNA from 1 species
UGGGGAAUUUUGGACAAUGGGCGCAAGCCUGAUCCAGCAAUGCCGCGUGCAGGAAGAAGGCCUUCGGGUUGUAAACUGCUUUUGUACGGAACGAAACGGUCCUGGUUAAUACCUGGGGCUAAUGACGGUACCGUAAGAAUAAGCACCGGCUAACUACGUGCCAGCAGCCGCGGUAAUACGUAGGGUGCAAGCGUUAAUCGGAAUUACUGGGCGUAAAGCGUGCGCAGGCGGUUUUGUAAGACAGGCGUGAAAUCCCCGGGCUUAACCUGGGAAUGGCGUUUGUGACUGCAAAGCUGGAGUGCGGCAGAGGGGGAUGGAAUUCCGCGUGUAGCAGUGAAAUGCGUAGAUAUGCGGAGGAACACCGAUGGCGAAGGCAAUCCCCUGGGCCUGCACUGACGCUCAUGCACGAAAGCGUGGGGAGCAAACAGGAUUAGAUACCCUGGUAGUCCACGCCCUAAACGAUGUCAACUGGUUGUUGGGUGUCUUCUGACUCAGUAACGAAGCUAACGCGUGAAGU